CCUACGGGAGGCAGCAGUGGGGAAUUUUGGACAAUGGGCGCAAGCCUGAUCCAGCAAUGCCGCGUGAGUGAAGAAGGCCUUCGGGUUGUAAAGCUCUUUUGUCAGGGAAGAAACGGUCUGUUCUAAUACAGCGGGCUAAUGACGGUACCUGAAGAAUAAGCACCGGCUAACUACGUGCCAGCAGCCGCGGUAAUACGUAGGGUGCAAGCGUUAAUCGGAAUUACUGGGCGUAAAGCGUGCGCAGGCGGUUUUGUAAGUUUGUCGUGAAAUCCCCGGGCUCAACCUGGGAAUGGCGAUGAAGACUGCAAGGCUAGAGUUUGGCAGAGGGGGGUAGAAUUCCACGUGUAGCAGUGAAAUGCGUAGAUAUGUGGAGGAACACCGAUGGCGAAGGCAGCCCCCUGGGUCAAAACUGACGCUCAUGCACGAAAGCGUGGGGAGCAAACAGGAUUAGAUACCCUGGUAGUCCACGCCCUAAACGAUGUCUACUAGUUGUCGGGUCUUAAUUGACUUGGUAACGCAGCUAACGCGUGAAGUAGACCGCCUGGGGAUACGGUCGCAAGAUUAAAACNCAAAUGAAAUUGACGG
rnacentral:rRNA from 1 species